rnacentral:rRNA from 1 species
GACGAACGCUGGCGGCGUGCUUAACACAUGCAAGUCGAACGAAGAGCGAUGGAAGCUUGCUUCUAUCAAUCUUAGUGGCGAACGGGUGAGUAACGCGUAAUCAACCUGCCCUUCAGAGGGGGACAACAGUUGGAAACGACUGCUAAUACCGCAUACGAUCUAAUCUCGGCAUCGAGGAUAGAUGAAAGGUGGCCUCUACAUGUAAGCUAUCACUGAAGGAGGGGAUUGCGUCUGAUUAGCUAGUUGGUGGGGUAACGGACCACCAAGGCGAUGAUCAGUAGCCGGUCUGGGAGGAUGAACGGCCAAAUUGGGACUGAGACACGGCCCAGACUCCUACGGGAGGCAGCAGGGGGGAAUCUUCCGCAAUGGACGAAAGGCUGACGGAGCAACGCCGCGUGAGUGAUGACGGCCUUCGGGUUGUAAAGCUCUGUUAAUCGGGACGAAAGGCCUUCUUGCGAAUAGUGAGAAGGAUUGACGGUACCGGAAUAGAAAGCCACGGCUAACUACGUG